GACGUAGGGCGCGAGCGUUGUCCGGAUUUAUUGGGCGUAAAGAGCUCGUAGGCGGCUUGUUACGUCGUUCGUGAAAUCUCAGGGCUCAACUCUGAGCUUGCGGGCGAUACGGGCAGGCUAGAGUUCGGUAGGGGAGACUGGAAUUCCUGGUGUAGCGGUGAAAUGCGCAGAUAUCAGGAGGAACACCGAUGGCGAAGGCAGGUCUCUGGGCAUUAACUGACGCUGAGGAGCGAAAGCAUGGGGAGCGAACAGG
rnacentral:rRNA from 1 species